CGACGACCGGCGCACGGGUGCGCAACGCGUAUACAAUCUGCCUUAUGCUGAGGGAUAGCCCAGAGAAAUUUGGAUUAAGACCUCAUGGUAUCGGAAGACGGCAUCGUUUUCUGAUUAAAGGUUACGGCAUAAGAUGAGUAUGCGUCCCAUUAGCUAGUUGGUGUGGUAACGGCACACCAAGGCAACGAUGGGUAGGGGUCCUGAGAGGGAGAUCCCCCACACUGGUACUGAGACACGGACCAGACUCCUACGGGAGGCAGCAGUGAGGAAUAUUGGACAAUGGACGAAAGUCUGAUCCAGCCAUGCCGCGUGCAGGAAGACGGUCCUAUGGAUUGUAAACUGCUUUUAUACGGGAAGAAUAAGGGCUACGUGUAGCCCGGUGACGGUACCGUAAGAAUAAGGAUCGGCUAACUCCGUGCCAGCAGCCGCGGUAAUACGGAGGAUCCAAGCGUUAUCCGGAAUCAUUGGGUUUAAAGGGUCCGUAGGCGGACUAUUAAGUCAGGGGUGAAAGUCUGCAGCUCAACUGUAGAAUUGCCUUUGAUACUGGUAGUCUUGAGUUAUGGUGAAGUGGCUAGAAUAUGUAGUGUAGCGGUGAAAUGCAUAGAUAUUACAUAGAAUACCGAUUGCGAAGGCAGGUCACUAACCAUACACUGACGCUGAUGGACGAAAGCGUGGGGAGCGAACAGGAUUAGAUACCCUGGUAGUCCACGCCGUAAACGAUGGAUACUAGCUGUUCGGACUUCGGUCUGAG
rnacentral:rRNA from 1 species